rnacentral:rRNA from 1 species
UGACCUCAAAUCAGGUAGGACUACCCGCUGAACUUAAGCAUAUCAAUAAGCGGAGGAAAAGAAACCAACCGGGAUUGCCUCAGUAACGGCGAGUGAAGCGGCAAAAGCUCAAAUUUGAAAUCUGCGUAAGCCGAGUUGUAAUUUGAAGAUGGCUACUUUGGUAAUGGCUCUUGUCUAUGUUCCUUGGAACAGGACGUCACAGAGGGUGAGAAUCCCGUGCGAUGAGAUGUCCGUUACCGUGUAAAGUGCUUUCGAAGA